AUAGCUAUAUUAUAUAUAGUUGUUUUACCUCAAAAGGUUGCCACAACAGCCUGUUCAUUCAAGACUCAAGAGGACUGAUCAGGUGGCUCCAGCACUAGUGAUGAAAUAGGCUGUUGUGGCAACCUUUUGAGAUAAAACAACUAUAUAAUUUAUAUAUAAUACAGCUAUAUAUAUAUAAA